rnacentral:rRNA from 1 species
UACGUAGGGGGCGAGCGUUGUCCGGAGUUACUGGGCGUAAAGGGCAUGCAGGCGGUCGGACGCGUUUUGUGUGACAGCGGAUGGCUUCACUAUCCGAGCAUACGAAAGACGGUUUGACUUGAGGACUCGAGAGGGACACGGAAUUCCGGGUGGAGUGGUGAAAUGCGUAGAGAUCCCGAGGAACACCGAAGGCGAAGGCAGUGUCCUGGCGAGUGACUGACGCUGAGGUGCGAAAGCUAGGGGAGCGAACGGG